UACAGAGGGUGCAAGCGUUGUUCGGAUUUACUGGGCGUAAAGGGCGCGCAGGCGGCCAUUCAAGUCAGGCGUGAAAGCCCCGGGCUCAACCUGGGAAUGGCAUUUGAUACUCUGAGGCUGGAGUACGGGAGAGGAGAGUGGAAUUCCCAGUGUAGAGGUGAAAUUCGUAGAUAUUGGGAAGAACACCGGUGGCGAAGGCGGCUCUCUGGACCGUAACUGACGCUGAGGCGCGAAAGCGUGGGGAGCAAACAGG
rnacentral:rRNA from 1 species